CGCAGCAAUCGCGAGCAAAGUGAAAAUGCUCACGAGUUUAAUCACUUCCAUACCGCACCGGGGGUUAGUAUGAAGGUGAGCAAAAUAGGGCCGAUGCCGUCGGGACCGACAAAAUCACCAAAUUUGCUCACUAGAAAGGGGCGAGAGCAAACAUGCACUGAAAAAAUUCUACCGUUUUGAGCAGAAUUAAACAAACGAUGUCGCAGCGUGUAGAUGUUUGUUGAUAUUUAUUUUAAGAAAAAAAUUGUAUCAGCUUAAAAUUGUGGAUGGUUUUUCUUGUAAUAACUGCAGUUAAAUUCGCAAUUUCGUUACAUUUUUUCGGGGUUUUCCAGGAAUUGAACGAGAAAGUGUAAAUGCUGGUUCUGAUGAUAAACAAACUUGAAGCAUCGUAAUUUGUGACCAAAAAUGGUCACUCGGAGUUUCUCGGAGUAAUAAUAAUCGAGACCAGUGCGCUGUGCAGGAUUUUUGUAUCCAACCGGCCGAUAUGGGUGGCAUUCCAGUACUGUCCCUACCGAUUCGGCUUUCGGAACGAGGUCCAAUAAGUUUGCAACUAAUGGGACCCAGUUUUUCGGAGCAGCAAUUAUUUCAAUUAGCACGUUGGAUAGAAAAAGAAGUUGAAGAUUUUUUAGAAAAGUAUGAUUUUAAUAUAAAUAUAAUAAACAAAUAAAGUUGAAUUUUAGUUGAAUUGUUUGGUUUGUUAAAUUUUGUUUUUCGGGUCCAUUUGUUAGGAAAUAUAAGUGCCCGGCGUUUUGAAAGCAAAAUCGAGCUUAAUUCGAAAAUAUAUUCUUAUCUGAACUUAUUUUAUUCAA